rnacentral:rRNA from 1 species
UUAAUUGAAGGCUGGAAUGAAUGAUUUAAUAAUUUAUAAUUUGUCUUGUAAAUUAGUAAAUAAUUUGUAUUGUGAGUAAAAAUACUUACGUAUAAUGAUGGGACGAUAAGACCCUAAAAGUUUUAUAUAUAAUUUAUUAUUUAAUUUAUAAUAUAUGUUUGGCUGGGGCAGCAAUUUAGUAAAAAUCUAUAGAAAUAAUAACCUUGUGUGGGUUUGGGGUCUUUUAUAUAAAGAUAAAUGGUGAAAAUUACUUUAGGGAUAACAGCAUAAUAAUUUUAAGGAGAUCGUAUCUAUAAAAUUGAUUAUGACCUCGAUGUUGAAUUAAA